rnacentral:rRNA from 1 species
UGGGGAAUAUUGGACAAUGGGGGCAACCCUGAUCCAGCAAUACCGCGUGUGUGAAGAAGGCCUUCGGGUUGUAAAGCACUUUAAGCAGGGAAGAAAAAACUUAACCUAAUACGUUGAGUCUUGACGGUACCUGAAGAAUAAGCACCGGCUAACUCUGUGCCAGCAGCCGCGGUAAUACAGAGGGUGCAAGCGUUAAUCGGAUUUACUGGGCGUAAAGCGUGUGUAGGUGGUUGGGAAAGUCAAUUGUGAAAUCCCCGGGCUUAACCUGGGAACUGCUUUUGAUACUGUCUGACUAGAAUUCGGUAGAGGGAGGCGGAACUCCAGGUGUAGCGGUGAAAUGCGUAGAUAUCUGGAAGAACACCAAUGGCGAAGGCAACCUCCUGGGCCUGAAUUGACACUG